ensembl:rRNA 5S_rRNA 5S ribosomal RNA
GCCAGCAACCAUAUCACCCUGCAACUCACAACUGGCAGCCCACUGAAGCUAAGCAGGUGUGAGCCUGGUUGGUACCUGGAUGGGAGACCACCUGGGAAAAACUAAGGUUGCUGCUGGAA